GCAUGGUUUCUGCUGGUCCAAGCAACGUUCUCCUGCCACAUCUAACCUCGGAGAGCAGGUGAGGCCCCAAAGGACCUGAACUUGUUAGAAAGCUGACUGCAUCGAGACGCUGUGGAUUCUCAAAGCUCCUGUGGCUACAGGAGUGGAGAAGAUGGUUAAUCCUGUUUGGGAAAAUGGCCAGCCGAGUUGGGGAAGGAAUGAAGAUGGAUAAUCAUUCAGGCU